rnacentral:ncRNA from 1 species
CAAGGAGCCGGCAUCAGGCACCCUCCUCUUGGAGCCUAUGACGCCUUGCUAAGCCACACCCCCAAGGGAAUGCAGCAGUGAUAAACCUUAAGCAAUAAGCGAAAGCUUGACUUAGUCAUAGUUAUUAGGACUGGUUAAUCUCGUGCCAGCCACCGCGGUUAUACGAGGAGUCCAAGCAGAUAGGUAACGGCGUAAAGCGUGGCUAAGGAGACACUAAAAAUAAAGCGGAACACCCUCAAUGCUGUCAUACGUAAGCGAGAUUAAAUAAAGACAUCUACGAAAGUGGCUUUACACCCGCCCCGACCCACGAAAGCUUUGGCACAAACUGGGAUUAGAUACCCCACUAUGCUCAGCCUUAAACAUUGAUGGCAGCCUACAGCAUGCCAUCCGCCCGGGAAGUACGAGCGCAAGCUUAAAACCCAAAGGACUUGGCGGUGCUUCACAUCCAUCUAGAGGAGCCUGUCCUAGAACCGAUGACCCUCGUUCAACCUCACCCCUCCUUGAAUAUUCCUUCAGCCUAUAUACCGCCGUCGCAAGCCCACCUUGUGAAAGACCAACAGUGAGCCCAACCAGCAUAGCUUUAAACGUCAGGUCGAGGUGUAGCUUAUGGAGGGGGAUGAGAUGGGCUACAUUCACUAGCCAUAGUGUACACGGACGACAUUACUGAAACGUGUGUCUGAAGGUGAAUUUAGAAGUAAGCUGAGAAACAGCGUGUCCAGCUGAAUAAUGGCCCUGAAGCGCGCACACACCGCCCGUCACUCUCCCCGAAAACAAAAUUAAAAACUUUAAAUAAAGCAUUAUCGGCAUAGAGGGGAGGCAAGUCGUAACAUGGUAAGUGUACCGGAAGGUGUACUUGGUAAAAUAC